rnacentral:rRNA from 1 species
GAUGAACGCUGGCGGCGUGCCUAAUACAUGCAAGUCGAGCGAACGGACGAGAAGCUUGCUUUUCUGAUGUUAGCGGCGGACGGGUGAGUAACACGUGGAUAACCUACCUAUAAGACUGGGAUAACUUCGGGAAACCGGAGCUAAUACCGGAUAAUAUUUUGAACCGCAUGGUUCAAAAGUGAAAGACGGUCUUGCUGUCACUUAUAGAUGGAUCCGCGCUGCAUUAGCUAGUUGGUAAGGUAACGGCUUACCAAGGCAACGAUGCAUAGCCGACCUGAGAGGGUGAUCGGCCACACUGGAACUGAGACACGGUCCAGACUCCUACGGGAGGCAGCAGUGGGGAAUCUUCCGAAAUGGGCGAAAGCCUGACGGAGCAACGCCGCGUGAGUGAUGAAGGUCUUCGGAUCGUAAAACUCUGUUAUUAGGGAAGAACAGAUGUGUAAGUAACUGUGCACAUCUUGACGGUACCUAAUCAGAAAGCCACGGCUAACUACGUG